rnacentral:rRNA from 1 species
UACGUAGGGGGGCAAGCGUUGUCCGGAAUCAUUGGGCGUAAAGCGCGUGUAGGCGGUCCGGUAAGUCCGCUGUGAAAGUCGGGGGCUCAACCCUCGGAUGCCGGUAGAUACUGUCGGGCUUGAGUACGGAAGAGGCGAGUGGAAUUCCUGGUGUAGCGGUGAAAUGCGCAGAUAUCAGGAGGAACACCAAUUGCGAAGGCAGCUCGCUGGGACGUUACUGACGCUGAGACGCGAAAGCGUGGGGAGCAAACAGG